UGGGGUUAGCUGUCAACGACGUAGCCGGGAAGGGCAUGAUAUGGAGCUACAGUUCCCGGUAGACAGUUAUACAUGCGUCGUAGCUUCUUAAAAGUACAAACGGGCUUUUCUAGGGGGUGUUUUCCAUAAACCAGGUCCGCGGCUGUUUUUGUUUUCGACAUCUUGAACUAACGAGCUAACCGGCUAGCUAGCUAGCUGUUAAAAAGGUAACUUCAAACAGCCUCAUGGCGUUGAUCCUGUUUACGAGGUCUCGGGCACCUUUAAUGAAAACCUCCAGGUCGUUGAAGAGCGAGUUCAGGAAAGCACCGAGAGGAUUCGCGCAUUUAACGUCGGACCGAGGCGGAUGGGCCCUGUUUGGGUUUUCCGGGAAGAUGGUGGGGGAAGACUCAAGGCGAGCGCCCCCUUCCUCCUCCUGCAGUCUGCAGGACGCGCGUCGGCGGCGUCGUUCUGUUCCCGCCACAAGAUACCCGGAUGUAAAGCAAGAUGGCUUUAUUAUUGUUCCAUGUUGUGCUGAAGUGUGGAGCACAGUUUG